rnacentral:lncRNA from 1 species
UUCAACUUUUUACUGAGGUUUUCCCCUCUCUGCCCAAAUUACAGUGGCUCCAGGGAACAUUUAGAUUCCAAAUUGUUCCCAGAAGCUUGAUGGUCUCUCCGUUCUGGUUUAUGGCAGCCUGUAGGUAGGUGAUGCUUCCCAACACCACAAGUUGGCCAGAGCCGGGCCCUGACAAAAAGAUAAUCUGCAGAAGAGCCCACAGCAAACAGCCAGGUCCACAGGGAGCAGCAUCUGUUCACGGCGGGCAAGAGUGUGGCCUCACGUCUGGGAAAGGUGGAAGGUUGAGAACUAAGACCAAGACAGGCCCCGACUGGAAGAACAGAGGCAAGUAGGCAGGAAGAAGGAGGAGAGAAUCCUUGUCAGAGGAAUCAGGGUCAACAAUCCAUCUGGAGGGACUUAAUUGUCCCCAGCCCUCAGCUCAGCAUUGCUCGUGAAAAUGGAGGCUGCCCCUCAAGUGGACAUUGAGUGGCUGCAACUGCUAGAAGGAGAAGGCUGAGCUCACAUGGCCCUGUCAGGGGAGGAAGAGGAGCAGAGAUAGAGACGUCAGGAACACACUGCAAACUGCCUUUCACAUUUCACACCUCCAGGCAAUAGUAACAGCCAGACUUUCCUUGAAUAUUCUUCCAUGAAGACUGCAGAAGACAAGGGUCUUUCUUUGGAAAAUAACAAUAAUACUUCACUAGAAUGUCAAUAAUAAUUAAGCUGGGGGUGUAUAGGGAAGAAAUAAAAGCAACAUCCCUCAAGGGUUAUAUUAUUUCUAAUGUGCAAAUCUUUGCACACGUGACCUCUCUGCCCCGGUGUGC